rnacentral:rRNA from 1 species
UACGUAGGGUCCGAGCGUUGUCCGGAAUUAUUGGGCGUAAAGGGCUCGUAGGCGGUUCGUCACGUCGGGAGUGAAAACUCGGAGCUCAACUCCGAGCCUGCUUCCGAUACGGGCAGACUAGAGGUAGGCAGGGGAGAGCGGAACUCCUGGUGUAGCGGUGGAAUGCGCAGAUAUCAGGAAGAACACCGGUGGCGAAGGCGGCUCUCUGGGCCUUACCUGACGCUGAGGCGCGAAAGCUAGGGGAGCAAACAGG